AUUAUGUAAAUAAAUUUGUUUGACCAGAAUCUCAGUGAUAUAAAAGAGAAUAAUCAGUGAUUUCCUGAUUGAUUAUGAUCAUGAUAUCUAGUUUUAGAACACAUAACAGAAACAGAACCUCAUUUGUACAUCUACAAUAAAUGAUGAUUGCUCUUGUAAGACACAUGAAGUGAAGGAGAAACAGAGAAAUAUCAGUUGAGGUAAACAAACAUCAUCAUGAGCAGUGACAGCCUCCAUGGUUAAACAGACACAGGAAGGAGCGCCACCUAAAGAAACUCAAACAUUUACAGCACAACUAAUGAGAAGAUGUCAAAGUACCACCCAUAGUGUUUGACUGACAGCGGAUCUCUGUGCAGUGAAGACAUGAAAAGAAAAAUCAGCUCUCAGCAACAAUGAUGGAGAAAAAAAUACAUUUCAGAUCAAAAACAUAGAA